ACAUGGAGCUGCUUUCUCCGGCAGCGGCUGCGAUCGGCUUCAGGAAGCGGCGCUCAGAGUCGGUGUGUGGGAGCCUCGCUGGGAGAAAGGAGCGGAGAGAAUUCACAAGUCCCGAAUAGAGGUUAAUAACCCCGAAAAAAAGACCCUCCAGGCCCGGGUACUCAGGGAGUUCCUGACUCCAUAGACUUGCCAACUGCUCGUUGGGAAGAUGAUUGGUCAGCCAGAGAGACAAAGGUCAGGGAGAUCAGGAGCCUACAAUAAAUCCUGCCGCCAGGGUGUGAAGACUUCGAAGGAUAAAAUCACCACGAAACCCCACAGUGCAGUAAUUCGAGAAUAACUACGGAAAGAGGAGACACGUCCAAGACCAUCAGAAGGACAAGAAGACAUCACCAAGUCGAG